rnacentral:rRNA from 1 species
AACGCGAAGAACCUUACCCAGGCUCGAAAUGUAGGUGGCGAUACCAGAGAUGGUAUUUUUCGUAAGAACGCCUACAUAGGUGCUGCAUGGCUGUCGUCAGCUCGUGCCGUGAGGUGUUGGGUUAAGUCCCGCAACGAGCGCAACCCUUAUCAUUAGUUGCCAACACGCAAGGUGGGGACUCUAAUGAGACUGCCUAGGUUAACUAGGAGGAAGGUGAGGAUGACGUCAAGUCCGCAUGGCCUUUAUGUCUGGGGCUACACAUGUGCUACAAUGGUCGGUACAGAAGGCAGCAAGACCGCAAGGUGGAGCAAAUCCGUAAAACCGAUCUCAGUUCAGAUUGUAGUCUGCAACUCGACUACAUGAAGCUGGAAUUGCUAGUAAUGACGUGUCAGCAACAACGUCGUGAAUACGUUCCCGGGCCUUGUA